CCUUCAGCAGCAUUAGAGCUGCUCCUUGGCGAUAGCAGGCCUUUGGCCAAUCAGGCCGCAUCAUCCUACAAGUAUAGGCAUCCCCAUAAGCUUUGUCUCCAUCACCCAUGUGAAGAAAGCAGAGGCUCCUGUUUGAAUACAGGGUUGCAUCAUUGAAGUCGAGGCAAAGCGCCUUCAUUCAAGCACAAUCAAGUGAACAAUUACUACAUCUGCCACACAUGAAUAUAACUUCAUUUAGCAUAGAAGAGCUACUGUUAAGGUUUUGUUCAUAUAGUACCUUUUGCCCUGGCAGUGUGUUCACAUGACGGAUUAUUCCUCUGACACUCCAAUCAGGUACAGUCGGCAUAGGAGAUGUCAAAGGAAAUAGGAUAUUGACAUCUUUCAAUGUACCACAUCGCACAGCAAAUUCUAUUGGCAUCCUGCCGAACUGCUCAUGAUCAAGAAAAUAUGAGUUCAUAAAAUAAUUGCAAUUUGGAGGGCAAGAAAUAGAAGCACAAGAGACAAUAAAAAACAUCAGAACUUCAAUGCAAUAAUUGGCAACAAUCUAGUCUUUGAAGUACUUGAGAAAAGUAUCAAAGCUGCCAACACAAUCGGUGGGCAUUACGCUAAUUAGAAACUAGGAACAUGAAAGCAAAAAAUGGCAUACAUCAGCAUUGUGGUCCAAUAAAAUCUUCACUACACGAUGUUGUCCAUUAGUAGCAGCCAGAUGUAGUGGUGUACCACGAACAGACAUCGAAUCAACUUGAGCCCCUUUAGCAAGCAAGAGCUCCACUACAUUGCAAUAUCCUCAAAAUGGAGAGGGGUGAAUCCUUUAUUAUCAGCUUUUUCUGGAUGGGCACCAUGGUCAAGAAGGUACCUCACGGUAGCUACAUUUGCACCAUUGACUGCAUAAGCCAGAGAGGGUGAGGACCUUGGUCGUAGAUGGCGUUGGCAUCCACCCGAAGCUCCUCGACCAGGUACCUGCACACCGCCAGCUUCCCCGCGCCGGCGGCGAGGUGCAGCGCGCCCGCGCCGCACUCCCGCACGGCCUCCACCGCCUCCGCGGGGCGGCCCCUCCCUCCGUCCAGCGACCUCACCA
rnacentral:sRNA from 1 species